ACGUUCUACUGAGAACUUGAGCGCGUGAGAGAAGUAAAAAUAUGCCGCUAGUCAACAGAAGGGUAUUUAUAGAAUACGAAGAAAAACUUUGUGAGAGAGAAAAUUUGGCAAUUUAAGCAAAAACAGAGCAGUUGGUUGAUUGUAGGAGAGGAAUAGCCUCGAUCGCUUAUAAGACACGAUUUAGACACUAGGUGGAAUCGACAAUUUACCGAAGAAGACAACCUGUCGGAGCCGAUGAUCGAAUUACGGCCACGUAGGAAUGACACGGUGUUAAUUAUUGUUAUACGUUCCACGUGAAUGUGUUCUGAGUAAUGUUACAUGUUACAAUUGGCUUCAAGUAGCGAAAUGAUACCAUUAAACAGUCAGAAGUGAGGCUACGCGGUGCUUUGUGGUAUACAACUGGCGGAAGAAUGUUCACGAGAAACCGAUUCUAGCAAACGUGGAUAUACGAACCUGCUGACGUAACAAAUAUUAUGGGUUAUAGGUCCAGCCGGUAUUUCUUGUGAUUGGAUAUCGAAGGUGUGGUGCUGAUCAAUCACCAUGGUAACGAGUAGGCCUCGAGCCCACUCGGCUUCUUCUAUUAAAUUAACGUUGAUCAAUUCUCGGGAUAACUCUGCGGCCCGUAGUACCCCCGAACUUAGGUCCAUGUUGACUGGCCUUGAAACAACAGUGCCCCAGAAUUUGUCACCAGACGAUUUCUCGACGACACAUCGACCUCGUCGCGUGAAGAGGAAAGCCGCCGAAAUGACUUCAGCAGACGACGGGUGCUGUGUUUGUUGCAAACGGUGUUGUGGGUGUUGUCGGUGCUGCCGUUGCCAUAUUCUUCUGGUGAUAUUACAACUGUUAUUAGGCUCUGGAAUAACGGCGUUGACUUUCUACGUUCACUUGUAUUACCCAGUUAUUGGAAUGAGAGAAACGCCUUAUUGGGCAGGUGUUCCGUUGACAUUAGCUGGACUUGUUGGUAUUUAUUUUUGUUGUGCUAAAUUAUCUUCCAUAGCAGAAUCUUCUAAAUCAUGUGUUAUUCAGGCUCUGUGUUUCAUUUUCUCCAUUGUUGCCAUAUUUGUAAACGUCAUAGCCAGUGUGUUUCCCGCCAUUCAGCUCUAUCGUAUUUAUACGUACAUUACAUGUCGCCUGAACGUGACUCGGUGUGAAUGUUUUAAUUCGGACUCCCGGGUUUUUCUCUAUCCAAACGUGUAUGGAUGUGGGUUUGUUUAUCUCGAGAUCAAAUACUAUAUGUUUAUUAUCGGAGGCCUGUGUCUAUUGGGUGCCAUUGUUUCGCUGUGGUUUGUUAUCUUACUCUGGAAGGAAAGGUACGGACGAUUCUAUUCUGGCGCAGAUGGUGACACCCCGGUGCUAAGACGACGACGCGUGAGGCUGGAUAUAGCGAGGCUACCACCAGAGGCGUGACUGUAUAUGAUGUUUCCAAUGCAAAAUAGACGAAGACCAAAAUAGCACGUGACAGAUCCGAAUCCGAAUCUAGAUUCCAUGAUGGUGGUGAUAUAAUAAUCUUGAAUCCGUCCGCGUCCGUUAUUUUUUUUUCUGGUGAUGAAUUAGGAAGUCGAUUUAAAAUCUUACCGGAAAGACCCACUUGCAUGAUGGCAACGUCAACACGACCAAUGAACAAUCAUACCAACCUUCGUAACAAUCGUACUUCAUUUGGCGUGGCCACCAAGAACAUCAAGAAGAGUAGCCUAUGUCGUGGUGUCGGGUUAAAAUGUUGUGAUGUCGUGAUGUCGCUCUUCAUACGGCGACAACCCGAUAUGAUACCAAUCAGCCCGAUUGAUCUCCUAAUUUUUGGUUUCCCCGUUAGUCAAUACUUUGAACGGUUGAAUUAACCGUAUACUGUCUGUUGAUAAACUCAAUAGAAUGGGCCUGAUGCCGACAUUAUGGUGUGAUACACCCGACAAUAUGUCAUUCUGUUGUAUGAGAACAUUUAAUUACAUGUGUUGGUGGAAAUGUCCAUCCUUACACAAAAAACUAAAACAGGCUGUUUCUUUUUUCUCCCUCAAAUGGGUCAUGACGUCGCGAGAGAGAGGGAGAGAGGGAGAGUUUAACUAGGUCAUUUCGGGACUAACGUAUGGUUUAAUUUUAUUUUUAUUUCAAUAAUUAGCUUGCGCGUAGGGGUCUUUAGCAGUGGGAGUAAACCGGAGGACCCGGAGUAAACCCACGUGGUUGGACACUCCCAAUCAAGGAAUGAAAUUAAAAUGAAGGUGUUUAUUUUUAAAUUAUCGUGGCACAAGCUGUCUUACUUAAUUUUAUUGAAUAAUUCGCUUGCGCGUAGGGGUCUUUAGCAGUGGGAGGAAACCCGAGGACCCGGAGAAAACCCACGAGGUUGGACAGGCGACCCUACUCCUUGUCACGUACAACCAUGGAUUCGAAAAUACGCCAGUUGACUCAAUGACAGGCCUUAUGAUAUAGCGCGCACGUGCUAACUAUUCGCCCCAUCCCCUAUGACGUCGCCAGACUUCGGUGACGUGAAUACCAGAUGAACUGAAUUUUUAAUCGGAUCUGUCUCUGAUUAUGGUGGAUUAGUUGGAUUUAUUUGUUGGUAAUAUAGAGGGUUUUCAUAAAUGCUUAGCCAUUAGAUGCUUCAACUUGAAAUAAUCUGGAUUCUGGCAGGCUAAAAUCAUAGUUACAUAGAGAAAUAUUUGACCAAAUCCAAUCGAAUUUAAUCAGAAUAAUCGAUGCCGCUUGCGGUUGCGGGUGGGGACAUUUUUUUGGCUUGUAACUUUAAAUAUAAUCUUUAUUAAUUACAAUAACAUUUUGUUCAUAUAAUAAUAUAUCUAUCGAUGGUGCUUUUGAAAAUUAGCCUGUCGCUAGUUUUGGUCACCCAGAACCUCCUAGACUUCAACUUACGGGGGGUCUGAGACCGUUGUCAAUAUUUGACGAAAAGUUCCAUUGCCCAUGUGUAACCGGGAGUUUGGUUUUAUAUGUGGUUAAUUAUCCAGUAUCAUUGGCCAAGCCGAGUAAGAGUUGUGCCCCUUCCCGCAAUAAAUCCCAUAAUUCUUGCAGUAGGCUAUUAUAAACAAACGUGAAUCGUGACAAUGAAUUGGGAUUAAUAUAUAUAAAAAAAUAGAUAUGGCGCAUGAAGAGAGAAAUUUUACAAUAAAAAAAAAUAAGAGUGUUGGAUUAGAACUGACGAUGUAAUCAAAUGGAUUUUUUGAAAUGGCACGCUUCAAUUAAUUUCUUGUUUUGGAACUAGUUACCUCCCUUAGUCUUUGUUUAUGCUAAUGUAAAAGACUGGAUAAUCUAGCCAAUGACAUAUUAUCCUCAAAUGUAACAACGCAUCCAGACUAAUAUUCGUAGAAUAUUUUUCUGGAUGAUAGAGACUAGAUUGUCGCAAGAAGAUUAGAAUGAUAUAAGGGUCUUUUAUUGUUGGCAUCCCAACGAAGUAUUUCAUACACACAUGAGCGUCACGUGGCUAAGUAGGUAAGACGCUGGCUCGCUAGCCUGGAGGUCGGCUGUUCGAUCCCUGCAUUUGCAGAGAAAGUUCAUCCAGAUUUUCCGGCGUGGUUUCCCCCUUGUCAGUGAUUCAGGACGGAGGGCCUGACAAGGACAGCUGUCUAGUCGUUUGGAUGGGGCGAAAACCGAAGGUCCCGUGUACACAUUGGCGUGCACGUAAAAGAUCCCUUGGCAGUUGGAAUUCGAUAUAAGAGUAGGCCGUAGCGCCGCUGCCCGGGCAAAAUUCCCCCCAUAGCACACUGUAUGGCGUAUGCCCGUCUUCAUUAAUCCAAUUCAGAGCAGACCAGUAGGACGUUAAACCCCAUUUCAUUUCAUUUCAUACACACAUAUAUUCUUAAACGUUAGUCGAUUAGGCUAACGCCCUUUGGGCCUCUUGCUGUUAAUGCAGAGAUUAAAAAUAUUCCAAAUUAAAGAUCCAUUAGUUUAUUAAAGAUUUGAUCAUUCUUGCUUUAAUAAUUUAAAAAUAGAUGAUAAAAAAAGAAGAAAAUAUUGGAAAUUUCAUUCAAAUUACUUCAUUCUCGGUCAAGUUAUCAUUGUUUGUCGUUUUGACAAGAUGUGUGCACUGUGGUAACGAGGGCACUGGUAUAAUCGGGACUUAGCCUCGCUUUCUCAAUUUUAAAUUAAAUUUUUAAAUGGCGAACCGUUUUAAUCUAGUUAAAAUCAAGGGUUGAUUAUAGUCUGGAUAGGUUAAUUAAUGUCUAAUUAAUAAUUUAGAUAACAUUUAAGGCCUAAAGAAAAACCUGCAAUAGGCAGAUUUAGCUCUUGCAUAAUGUAUGUUUAAACAAAGAAAUUAUUUAAAAUAUUUUUAACGAAGAAUAAUUAUCUCGUAUCAACAUUUUUUGUUAAAAGAUGAUUUUUAUGUCAAGAGUUAGAUGCAUGCCUCUAAUAUCCUAGAUAAAUAAAUGAAAAUGAAAUGGGGUUUAACGUCCUACUUUUCUACCGACUGCGCUAAUGAAUACGGAAGUAAUUAAAUAGAGAAAAAGAGAGAGAGAAAUGGGGUUUAACGUCCACUCGACACAAACAAGGUCAUUUCGGGACUAGCACAUGGUUCAAUUUUAUUCAAUAAUUCGCUUGCGCGUAGGGGUCUUUAGCAUUGGGAGGAAACCCGAGGACCCGGAGAAAACCCACGAGGUUGGACAGGCGACCCUACUCCUUGUCACGUACAACCGGGGAAUCGAAACCCUGCCAGUUGACUCAAUGACAGACCGUAUGAUACAGCGGGCGCGUGCUAACCAUUCGGCCAUCCAACCCCCCCAGUAAUUAAAUCAUAUGGUUUUAUUACCUCAAAAAUAAACCCACAUUGUUGGUGUAUUCGAUAGAUAAUUUUAUUAAUGACCGACUUCCUUUGCUUGCUCGGGCACAAUUUCCCUGAUAGCACACUGUGUAUAGUAGUGUAUGCUCGUCUUCAUUAGCCCAGUCGGGGCAGAAAGAUAGGACGUAACCACAUUUCAUUUCAUUUACAUCCACCGCACUUUACUAUUCGAUGGGAAAUAAAUUUAAAAAAUGGAUUUGAAUUAUCGUCAAUAUUUUGGAUAAGGUACUUUGAAACCACGAGGCGGUUAAUUUGGUUUAAUAUUGUGACGUGUACACGGCUAAGAAAGGGAAUUUUGCCUUUUAAAUUCAAGACACAGAGUUCAAAAAGCAUACACGGACUUAAGUUAAGAAUUUACUAAAAAUUGUUCGGCUUAUUUUAACAAAAACAAAAAUAUAGCCCUUUAUAAAACUUUUGUUGUUUUAAUGUAUCAAAUACAUCAAUAAGAAACUAUGUGCAAAGUUUUUUUGUUUCUGGAUCAAAGAUAUUUCUGAUAAACAGUGAUUGAAAGUUGGGCAAGUUUUAACUUAAAGGAGCUAAGUCGCUAAUAUUUGGGACCUCGAAAUUGACACAAAUGGGUCGCAACGUAUACAAUAAUGUAAUAUGAAUGUAUAUAAAUUGAUUAACAUUCAAUCGUUUCUGUUUUUACUGUAAUUUUUAAUCAGUUAGGUUCGGCGAAAUACGCCAGUAUUCUCAAUCGAAUUUCAAUCUCUAGCUUCUGGUUAUUCCAGUCUACGCUGAUAGUAUUUAUUGGGCAUACUCUCCAGAUAAGAAUAUAGCGUCACUGUUUGACAUGAUCUGUGGAAUAUACCUAGCCUCGUUUUUCGAGUCACUUAUUACAAAUAUCGCUGAAACGCAUUAUGGUACACGAUUCGUGUACCAAUUGUAAAAUGUUUAUUUUGUCUUAAAUAUUGGAUAUCAGAAAGCCAUCUUUUUCCGGUAAGAUCACAACAUCAAUGUUGAUUUAAACCGACAAAUAAAUCCUGUUUUCAAUGUCGAAGAUUUUGGAUGAUAUUGAGUUAGAGACUUAGCUACUUUAAGUCUGAGAAUGCAUUGUGAACUCGGGAGUCAAGUUGGCUCUUAACAGUACGGCAUUGUGUACAAUUUUAGAUACAUAAGAAUUAUCUGAUUGUGAAGGAAGAAUACGUGUAAACUUGUUAUAUUAAGACAUGUAGAUAAGACAUGUUUUAUCCUAAAGGAGCUAAAUCGCUAAUAUUUGGGACCUAGAAAUUGACCCAAAUGGGUCGCAACGCAUAUAAUAAUGUAUUCUGAUUGUAUAUAAACUGAUUUACAUUUAAUUGUUUCCGAUUUGACUCUAAUUUCAAAUCAGUUACGUCCAGCGAAAUACGGCAUGAAUCUCGAUCAACCAAAUGGCAAUUACAAGCGUCUGGUUAUUCCCGUCUAUUGCGCAUGCUCUCCAGAUAAGAUAUGGCGUCACCGUUUGAUAGGAGUUGUGGAAUAUGUCUAGCCUCGUUCUUUAUGGUCACCUUUUACAAAUGACGCUGAAACGCAUUAUGGUACACGAUUCGUGUACCAAUGGUAAAAUGUUUAUUUUGUCUUAAAUAUUGGAUAUCAGGGCCCUGUUUCACGAAAUUUUAACUAAAGAUAAAAUCCAAAUUUUAGUAGAUACUUCAAUUUUGAUUGGUUAAGCACUAAAAUCAAUCGAAUAUUAUCCAAUCAAAUUACUAAAAUUUGGAUUUUAUCUUAGUUAAAAUUUCAUGAAACAGGCCCCAGAAGCCUACCUUUUCCCGGCAAGAUCACAACAUCAAUGUUGAUUUGAAUUGACAAAUAAUUUGUGUUUUCAACGUGUAAGACUUUGGAUGAUAUUGAGUUAGAGACUUAGCUACUUUAAAUAUGCAUGUUCUAUCAUCACGAUUAGUUGUUUUUCAGAACUCUUGAAUCACUAUAGAAAUGUAUUUCUUUCCCUAUUCCAUGCUUUUGUUUCUCAGGAAAUACUGUUUAUUUUCAUGAAGCUGAAUCAGUUAAAGGGACAAUAACACUCUUGCUGGCUUGAAAGCUCCAGAAAAUAAAUAAUAGCCUUAUUCUAAGUACUAGAUGUUUAAGUGUCCUACCUGUUGUGUAAAUUAUCCAUUACAUUCUAUUUUACUUGUCCAGAGGGUUCGAAAAAUAUUUUUAAAUCGAAGUUUCAUUUGAAAAGGUUUACGUUAGACGUUUCAAACCAUUAUUUUGAAUUUUUCCAAAUUUUUAAAUAAAGUGUGUUAAGAUGAAAUUUGUAUCAUCAAUUAAUUGAAAUAUUCUAAAAUAGUACAAUUUGUUGACCAGAAUAAAGAUUGGGACAUAUUAUUCAGUUACAACAAGAGUGGUAUUGAGCCUUUAAUAUAACUUAUCAGAAUGCUGUCAGGUUUGAACAAUGCUAUGAUUUAUACACAGAUCCAAAAUUCAUCUUCGCAGCCACUAAAAUAUAUAACUGCCCAAUUCCGAGGAGAGAGAAAGAGAGAGAGAGAGAGAGAGAUGAGGUUUAACGUCCACUCGACACAAACUAUGUCAUUUCGGGACUAACAUGUGGUUUAAUUUUAUUUCAAUAAUUCGCUUGCGCGUAGGGGUCUUUAGCAGUGGGAGGAAACCGGAGGACCCGGAGAAAACCCACGAGGUGGGACAGGCGACCCUACUCCUUGUCACGUACAACCGGGAAUCGAAACCACGCCAGUCGACUCAAUGACAGGCUUAAUGAUACAGCGCGCACGCUAACCAUUCAGCCAUCCAACCCCCCAAUUCCGAGGAGAAAACAAUCUGAAUGCAAUGCGGUUCUAUUUUUAGUUUCGGGUUUUUUUAUACUGUCGAUGUACCACACUACCUGUAGGGCUAAAUCUAUUUGUUAAGGCCAGCUCAGUUUUAGUGAAGGUUGCUGAGAUGUCAAUAAGAUUAGGGCACAUAAUUGUUGGCGAGAUUGUAGGUUUGAGUUGGGGUAAGCGUUAGGGCUAGGUCCAGGGUUAGGGUUGGGUUGAGAUUAGCGCUAGCCCUGUUUACAUCUCGUGACCUUUGACCAAACUUGAAGUUGGCCUUACGAAAUAGAUCUAACCAAUCAGGGCAUGUCAGGUCAUUAACCAUAACAAGUUACGUAUACGUCAACGCCCGUAGAAGAAUUAAACCUGUGCGCACAUGUAAAGUCUAGUUUACAACCCGCUAUACGUGUAUUGACACGCACUGGUUGUAGGGUUUGGUAGCUCGCAGACCAGCCGCAAGAAACCGGAUGAAAAUUUUGUAUGUUCAGGGCCAAAAGUCGUUACGGCCAGUCAGCGAUCUUAUACGGUACCGAACACCCGAAAGUGACGCGUAAGUCUCGCGUACGGGUUUACUUAACACUCCCCCCCCCCCCCCUCCUCCGUUGACUGUCCGUAGUAGCGCACGUAUACAGCCGGUUGUGAACUACGUGUAGGAUUAAACCUUAAACAGCUUGGCCUUUAAAUGAAAUAUCAUGUAUAAAAUCAUUGAAAUAAAUACUGUUUGAACAACAAUACAGAUAUCAUAGCACUUUUCACACGUGACAGAGACAACUAAAACAAUAAAUAUAA